rnacentral:rRNA from 1 species
AGAGUUUGAUCAUGGCUCAGAGUGAACGCUGGCGGCAGGCCUAACACAUGCAAGUCGAACGGUAGCACAGAGGAGCUUGCUCCUUGGGUGACGAGUGGCGGACGGGUGAGGAAUAUAUCGGAAUCUACCCUUUCGUGGGGGAUAACGUAGGGAAACUUACGCUAAUACCGCAUACGAACUGAGGUUGAAAGCGGCGGACCGCAAGGCGUCGCGCGGAUGGAUGAGCCGAUAUCCGAUUAGCUAGUUGGCGGGGUAAUGGCCCACCAAGGCGACGAUCGGUAGCUGGUCUGAGAGGAUGAUCAGCCACACUGGAACUGAAACACGGUCCAGACUCCUACGGGAGGCAGCAGUGGGGAAUAUUGCACAAUGGGGGCAACCCUGAUGCAGCAACGUCGCGUGGAGGAUGAAGGUCUUUGGAUUGUAAACUCCUUUUUUCGGGGAAGAGGAAGGACGGUACCCGAAGAAUAAGUCACGGCUAACUACGUGCCAGCAGCCGCGGUAAUACGUAGGUGGCGAGCGUUAUCCGGAAUUACUGGGCGUAAAGGGCACGCAGGCGGCCUGAUAAGUCUGACGUGAAAGCUCCUGGCUUAACUGGGAGAGGUCGUUGGAAACUGUUGGGCUUGAGGUAAUGAGAGGGGUGCGGAAUUCCCGGUGUAGUGGUGGAAUGCGUAGAUAUCGGGAGGAACACCAGUGGCGAAAGC